UACGUAGGUGGCAAGCGUUGUCCGGAUUUACUGGGUGUAAAGGGCGUGUAGCCGGGUUGACAAGUCAGAUGUGAAAUCCUGCGGCUUAACCGCAGAACUGCAUUUGAAACUGUUGAUCUUGAGUACUGGAGAGGCAGACGGAAUUCCUAGUGUAGCGGUGAAAUGCGUAGAUAUUAGGGGGAACACCAGUGGCGAAGGCGGUCUGCUGGACAGCAACUGACGGUGAGGCGCGAAAGCGCGGGGAGCAAACAGG
rnacentral:rRNA from 1 species